UACAGAGGUCUCGAGCGUUGUUCGGAUUCAUUGGGCGUAAAGGGUGCGUAGGUGGUGAUGCAAGUCUGGUGUGAAAUCUCGGGGCUUAACCCCGAAAUUGCAUCGGAUACUGCGUGACUUGAGGACUGUAGAGGAGAGUGGAAUUCACGGUGUAGCAGUGAAAUGCGUAGAUAUCGUGAGGAAGACCAGUUGCGAAGGCGACUCUCUGGGCAGUUCCUGACACUGAGGCACGAAGGCCAGGGGAGCAAACGGG
rnacentral:misc_RNA from 1 species